GACGAACGCUGGCGGCGUGCUUAACACAUGCAAGUCGAACGGAAAGGCCCUGCUUGCAGGGUGCUCGAGUGGCGAACGGGUGAGUAACACGUGGGUGAUCUGCCCCUUACUUUGGGAUAAGCCUGGGAAACUGGGUCUAAUACUGGAUAGGACCAUGCUGUAGGUGGUGUGGUGGAAAGAUUAGUUUCGGUAAGGGAUGAGCUCGCGGCCUAUCAGCUUGUUGGUGGGGUAAUGGCCUACCAAGGCGUCGACGGGUAGCCGGCCUGAGAGGGUGGACGGCCACAUUGGGACUGGGAUACGGCCCAGACUCCUACGGGAGGCAGCAGUGGGGAAUAUUGCACAAUGGGCGCAAGCCUGAUGCAGCGACGCCGCGUGGGGGAUGACGGCCUUCGGGUUGUAAACUCCUUUCAGCCAUGAUGAAGCCCUUGUGGUGACGGUAGUGGUAGAAGAAGCACCGGCUAACUACGUG
rnacentral:rRNA from 1 species